UUCCGGUUGAUCCCGCCAGAGGCCACUGCUAUUGGGGUUCGGCUAAGCCAUGCGAGUGGAGGGCGUCCCGCAAGGGAUGGCCCCGCAGACGGCUCAGUAACACGUCGUCAACAUACCCUGGGGUGGGGGACAACCUCGGGAAACUGAGGAUAAUCCCCCAUAGGUGGGGGAGGCUGGAAUGCGCCCCUGCUGAAAGCCCAGGCGCCCUAGGACGGGGCGGCGGCCUAUCAGGUAGUUGGUGGUGUAACGGACCACCAAGCCUACGACGGGUACGGGCUGUGAGAGCAGGAGCCCGGAGAUGGGGACUGAGACAAGGCCCCAGGCCCUACGGGGCGCAGCAGGCGCGAAAACUCCGCAAUGCGCGCAAGCGUGACGGGGGAACCCCAAGUGCCGCUGAUCUUUGAUCGGCGGCUUUUCGGGAGUGCAGGGAGCUCCCGGAAUAAGGGCUGGGUAAGACUGGUGCCAGCCGCCGCGGUAAUACCAGCAGCCCAAGUGGUGGUCGCGUUUAUUGGGCCUAAAGCGCUCGUAGCCGGGCCGGUAAGUUCCCCGCGAAAUCGGGUCGCUCAACGAUUCGGCUUGCGGGGAAUACUGUCGGUCUUGGGGCCGGGAGACGCCGAGGGUACUCCGGGGGUAGCGGUGAAAUGCUGUAAUCCCUGGGGGACUACCAGUGGCGAAGGCGCUCGGCGAGAACGGGCC
rnacentral:rRNA from 1 species